AGAUCUUGAAAGCCUGAAAGGAAAGGAGAACUGACAGAUCAACUCCGUCUCCAGAGUCUGCUAUUGAAAUUCACAGGACGUGGUAUGGCUUUGUAAGGAGGCCACGGGAGCAAUGUGUUGUUUAUGGAUAAAAAAGGGAGCAUUGGACUCGCCGUGCCGGCUCAGAUGAAAGGUUGAACAAGCCUGGGCUCCUUUCUCUGGCAGUGGCCAGGAAACAGAAGAACAAAACAAGCAGCAAGUAAUGCUUUCCCUGCUCCAUCCUCCUCACAGAGCGAGUCUUCUCAGUUCUGGCACCUGUCCUGAUGAGAUAAGGAGGAAUAACUUCAUUCGGUGGCAAGGAGAGGAGGGAGGUGCUCCCUUCAAAGUUCCUCUAAGGCAUGGGCUCUGGACAACACCGGGUUAGGUCUUCACAAAAUGAUGAAAGCAGAGGAGUAACUCCUGAGGAAGGAAAGAAAUAGCUUUUUUAAAGCUUUUAAUUUUAAAAGCAACACAAUCUGGAAGCAUCAGCGUUUGUUCCAUCUUGCCAAACCUCAAGCCUGAGUUCCCAGGAACGUUCCUCCAGAGGAAGGUGUCCAUAGGCAGGUGUUUCUUGCCAGCUGGUCUGGACCUUGGGCAGUUCCUGUGCUGUGAGUAAGCUUCCUUGGUACAGACAUGCCACAGCACCGCUAAGCUUGCAAGCACCACUUUCUGCUUCAAAGAAGUUACAAGUACCAAAUGCACCAGAGGACCCUGCCAGUUCCAUCAGCCAAAUCAGCUGCAGCCUAAGGAGGUCAGAAACAACUCAGACACACCUGGGAAUACUCAUGAAGCACUCGAGCCUAUUCACAGCUGCUCAAGGUGUCCAAUGGUCUGCAGACAUUUGAACGAUGUGUGUGAGCCAGACAGGUGUGGCUUCAGCAGCUUAGAUGCCAACAGAAACCCAGCAGGCCAGAAUCCCUCGCCCACUUCUUCAUUUGCUUGGGCCAGGAUCACCCCAGAGGCAGUCCUGUGUACGAAGGAGACCACUGUGGGUGCCACAGCUCCAAUGCUCCCUGUCCCAGGCACCCUGCCCACCCUGGGAACAGCAUCUUCCAGCCCGUGUGCACAGGGGUGGGAUGCUUGUAGAAUGUUUGUUUCAUAGGACAGGGUAUAUCUGUUUUUUAGAACUGGAUGCUUCUCAAGUGCUGUUAAGAGACUGCAACUUGUGGUGCUCGGAAUCGUUGGCCGUUGUUAUGUAGGCACACAUUUCUCCUUGGUUGGUUUGACUUCCCAGCUGGGCAUUCAGGCUGGGUGUUACAUCACUUUCUUUUGCUAUGAGUCAUAGCUCUGAGAGACCAUGGCUGUGUCUACUGAAAAUGGAAGCCUGAAACGUUUGCGGAAGAAUAGAGGAAACCAAAAUAGUGCGAAAGGGCUGACGAUCACAAAUACAGACAGCAGCAGCAAAAGCACCGAGGUGGAGUUUCUCAGCUGCAGAGAUAACAUAGCCCAGGGCUCCUUUGGGAUCUGUCUCCGGGAAUCAGCAUGGUUUGGGUGCAUCAUUUAGGGGGAAAAGCAGGAAGCAAGCUGAAUCAAGAGCAACAGUGUUAGAAUCCAUGAUGGGAUGUUCUAGCUGCUCUCUUUUGCUAUGGGAAAGCAAGGUUUAGAGAUGCCGACACCAGCAUACUCUUAAUUCUGAGGUAUUUUCUAUAGCUAUUUUUUGGUACCCAAAGGCGCAGUAAGGGUGCUCAGGGACAGAUGUGAGCACCGAGCCAGCUCCACCACUCAGGCUGUGGCUGUUAGGCUGCAGCUGGCUGACCCAGGGGACAUGUUUUCAGUGGGCAUGUGAGCCAGCAGCUCUGCUUCUGUGAGCCUGUGUGUGAAGAGGAGUUCCUCCCUCGUGGGAAAUACUGACAAGAUGGUAAUUGUUUUGGUGGUUUUGCUGCAGAGCCUUCUGAAAACCCAGAUGCAGAGCAGUGGUGCUGUAAGUACUGUGCUGUUAUUACUGUCAGGAGUAUGUUUUCAGCAUUACUGGCAGCCUAUGCAAACCUUGCAUGAUGUUCUGCUGAAGUGAUGCCCCUGGACAGACAUCCUUGCUCCUGCUAUCCUGCAAUAUGCCGUGCUUUCUGCUGCAAAGGCAGCGUUUUGGGCUUGCCCUGCACUGGUGUUUUGAGGAAAGAACACUUUCAGUUCUUGGCUGAAAUAAUUCAUGUUCCACGGGAGCUGUGUGUUCUCAGUGAAUGGGUAGCAGAACCUCAGACUAGAACCAGGUCUUCUAAUUAACUGGCUUCAGAAGUGUGGUUAUUAUCGCUAACUACAUUUUUUUGAACAGCUUGUGAACUGCAGGGAAGUUGAACAGCACUUGGGCAAGUGAGUUUUUCCACGUUUAAGAUUUGGGAUUUUACAACUGGUCCCUUGCAGUGCCACAUCCUGAAGUAGGACCUCCAGCAUGGUGUGGGGCUGGUGUGUGCACGUGCAGAAACCUCCUUGGCUGUUGGUACUGCCUGCAGUUAUUGCAAGUGUGAGCUCUGCACCUGAAAGGAGACGAUACUGGUAACACCAAGCAACCCUCAUUCUGACGGCCUUCAGCAUAAGGCGAGGACCAGCACUUGUGCUGGGACACGUUCUGAUCUUGACAGGCUUAGAUUUUGCUCCUCAUCUCAAGUGAGGAUAACCUGCAGUUGGAUUCUCUGCCAUGCUGUGCUGCACAGCAGUUUCCCACAGCAGCAGUUCCUGAUGGGUGAGCUGUGCAUGCUGCAGCUGGGAUCUGCAGAAAGGUAGCUCGGCCUACAGACUUGCCAUGUGUUUGAUGCAGCUGUGCUCAGAGAGGAAACUUCAGGAGCCAAGGAGUGUGAUUUCUCAAUAACCUGAUGGGCAGCAGGUAAAGCAGGGGGCUGGGACAGGGCUCCUGGGGGCAUCUGAGCGUCUGCAUUGCCUGCCUGUGCUCCUCUUGGAACAAAGGACUGCACUGUGCCCAUCAUGGAGGGGACUUUGUUGAGGUACUGGAGCCCCAGUCAGACAUCAGGGGUCUGUCACACAGCAUCACCCCGGGAAUGAAGUGGCCCCUCGUGCUCAUGGUUGAGCUGCUAUGGGCUGUUUUGGCACUUAGGUAACAAUGUGAUUUCCUGUCUCAUGACAGUUCAGAUAUUAAAGGUCACAUCUGC
rnacentral:lncRNA from 7 species